rnacentral:lncRNA from 1 species
UAAGCCUGAUGUCUUCAUUGGCUUUCAUUUGUUUUUAAUCCUUAGUGGAAAAGACAAGCUUUUUUUGAAACUAAAACUCUAACUAAAACUCCACUUCUCUACCCAGAGAGGAGCACAGGCUGCAGCGGAGGUCCUGACACUCAAGAGGAUACUAAAAAGUGGUCUGACAGAGGAACGAGAAACAAAGAAGCAAUGGAGUCUCGGAGAGAGGAGGUCAUCUGGAGACUCGAGAGGCUGCUUGGAGACACCUGUAAAGAGGACACAAUAGCAGGAGAGGCGCAUCCUCCUUCAGACAGUGUCUGCACUGAGGACUUUGCCAGGCGCUUCACAGAGGAGAUGGUGGAAGUGCCGUUGCCAGAGAGUAAAUUUCAACAGUCAGACAGAGAAGAAGAGGCUGAGAGGUGUAAAUGUAUGUAGCAUAUUCUUAACAUAAACAUUAACAUAACAUGUUAUUCCCAUAUAAUGAACUGUAUGUUAUGCGUGUAUUAAAUUGUAUACCAGUAAAUUGGUUGUUCCAGCACUUUUGAAGUUAACCUCAGGGGUCCACUUGCUUGACUCUAGACUCUUGUCCCUGGUCCGAUUACAACCCUGGUACACCUUUGGUUCUCUCUCACUUCCCUCGCAGUCACUCACAAAACCAGUGUUGUAACAGAACAAGAAAACAAGCAUCACAACGAGAGCUGUUCUCCUAAGGCCAGGUGCUUGGCAGGUACCACACAAGCACAGUCUCACUAAUCCUCCUGUGCAUCUGUUCACUGCAAAUGGUAACUGUAGGUUGCCUUUUUGUUUUUCAUUAGGAGUGCCUGUGAGGGGUUUCGAUGCUGUGUCCAUUGCAAGCGACCUUGACUCAGUCUGUUCAGAGCAGGUCAGAUGGCACAUUCUCACGCGACCAGGUAAGAGACUGCAGAAACUGUGGAGGAAAGUGGGCUUCACUUUUAAAAUCAUACAACAUGUUCAUAUAUGAAUAUAACCACUACUUGUAACAUGAGUGUAUUAAAUUGUAGUUUACAUCAUUAUUGCCAUGCCCCAGGAUGGCACUGUCUCAUUCAGUCUGCCGCAGGCCUGGACGAUUACUCCAUCACCCAGAGUGACUAUGACACACUCACACAAGAAGAAAGUGAACCUCAGUCUAUAUCAGGUAAACAAGGUUUGACUGUUUAUUCUUUCAUCUACAGAGUCCACGGUGAGAACGCUUUCAUCUUUAAAUCUUUAAAAGUCCACAGAUCCUCUUUUGGACGUGCACAAAAGAGAAGUCCUUCUGUUUGUAAAGCUCAGCAGAAAAAGAGAGAAAGCUACAGACUUGAGUGUUCCUCGGGUGAUGAUGACAAGGACACAGAUGAGGACACCAACCACUGGAGUGGAAGGUGUAGGUCAGAGAAUACAUCAGUGAAAAUGCAGUCUGCAAAAAUGAAAGAGCGACUCGCUAAUCUCCGACAAGUAAGAAUGAAUCAUAGUGUAUCUACGCAUAUUAUUAAGGGAUAUUUGAGAAAUGUUUUAUAACAGCUGUGUGUGUGUGUGUGUGUGUGUGUGUGUGUGUGUGUGUGUGUGUGUGUGUGUGUGUGUGUGUGUGUGUGUGUGUGUGUUUGUGUGUGUGUGUUGUUCAGAAAUGUGAGAAAGUGGAGGAGACACUAAUGUUGAAGAAAACUCAUUUAAAAGACGUUGAAGUCUGCCUCUCUGAACUUCAGCAGAGGAGAAAGGUAAAGUGCAGCAUCCUCAAUAGAAAACUGAAUAGAAGUCUCACUGACAAAAACUGACUCGCAGGUUAUGGUUUAUGCCCCAGCAUGCCUUGCGGGAAUUAGAGCGACUAAUGGCAGAGAACGCACGGAUUGAGAAGGAGAGGCAGACAAUGGAGUCCGGUCUGAUUGACAGCAGUGUAGAGAGAGACUCUCUCAGGUAUGCUGAUAUUUUAUCCUUCUAAUUUUGAUAAAUGCGUUUACAUGAUACUGAUCUUAAAAGAAUCAUAGGGCUGUGAAAGAGUGACACAACAGUGAAUGUGUUGUAGUUGCCAACUGAGAAAGUUGCAGAGGCAAAGAGAGUCGUAUGUCCAUGAGAUCAGAGACAUGGAAGAAGAACUUGCAGCUCUGAGUCAACAUAAAAAGACACUGAAGGACGGAUCCUGCAUGGAGAGGGUAACUAAAUCCGACCCAAGCAAUGUGUUCUUAAUUUCCAUCCUUGUGCUCAGUAACAUGUUUUAAUAUGUCAGGUUUGUUCUUCAAACACCAAUUUUUUUGUUGCUCCACUGUUCCGCAAACAGAGCAGCGUCAUCAUGUCGGUGCUGGAGAGGGAGGAGAUAGAGAGACAGCUGGACAGUGCAAAAACGGAAUUGUUCGCUGAACAGCGACGUGCAAGAGAGAAGCUUGAGUCCAUGCAAGAGGUACAGUAUUAAGGUCUUUUUAAUUUUGAAUACAAGUGACAAUUAUAAACCAUAACUAUAUCAAUAUUAAAAAUAAUUGUAAUAAAAUAAUUACAGAACUGUAAAAACAACAACAUCCAAAAUUAAUAACUCAACAAUUAAUAAUAAUAAAAUGCUCAUUAUAAGAUGUUCUGGUUUUAUGUUAGUGAUUUUUUAUAAGAAGAAAUUAUAGAACAUUAUUAGUCGUUCAGGUUUAUGUUAUUCUCAAAAGGUCAUAACUUUGUAAAUGUAAUCCACAUUCAGACGACAUCAGAAAAAAUAAGUCAUAUUUGUGUAUUAAAAGACCUGUCAGUCAAUUCCAGUGCAAAAUCAGGUUUUAAACUAAUUUUUUUUGUUGUGAGCCUUCUAAGGUCAUAUUGUGCCUUCAAUACAAAUAUCACUAAGUUGUGAAUGGAUCAUUUGAAUGACAAGAAACAUUUACAGGGAUGAACUAUUUAGGUUUUUUCUGUAAAAGGCACAUUCUCCUUUCUGUGUUUAAAGUAUCUUUGGAUAUGUGUUCAUCAAAUGACAUUGGAGCAGAAUUUAGAGCAGACACGUGAGGAACUCCAGAGAGCCACAGAGGCAGAACGCUCACAGAGGAACAGGUGUGCAGGUCUGGAGGAGAAACAGAUCCAGAAAAAGGAGCAAAUUGAGGUGAUACCUUAUAUCAUCAUGCUAAAUUGUAAUCAUCACACUCUCUUCUAAUUAUAAAAAAUUAUCUGUCAAGCAAAUGGCAAAAUGUUGGCAUCCACUCUCCAGUAUGUCUUAUUCUCUUCUAACUAUCCCUCCUAUAGACUCUGUACCUGAACAGAACAGAACCUUCAUUAACGUCACUAACGAUUGCUGUGUGUCUUUUAUUCGUAGGCGCUUGAGGCUCAAGUAAGUGAGCUGCAGGUUGAACACGGAGAAUGUAAGAUCAGGGUGGGCACUUUGGAGAAGAUGUCGGCCCAGAAGGAGCUACAGCUGCUACAUUUACAGGAACAACAUGGGACUUUACAAGCAGAGCGAGAUGGACUGAAGGGGGAGCUAAAACACCUGACAACCCAGCACUACAAAGCACAGAAGGAGGCCCAGGAACAAGCGUACAGAAUGAUGGUAAGUGUAAAAGCUUUCUGCGAUUUUUCCGAACUGCAUUUAUAUUUUUAUUAUAUCAUCUUCAACAGAGAGACGUGUUGUCUUUGAUUCUCAUUUGGGUGACAAACAAGACUGAAAAUUCAAAAUACUGAUUUGUCUAAUUCCUUCUCAGGUUAAUCAGCAGACUAAAGAGGAGAAAGCAGGUGAUUUGAAAGAACACACUCUGGCUCUCACACGAUGCAUUGAGACCAUGCAAAACUCCAUUCAUGUGAGUGUGUCAAUUGGAACCAUUUAAAACCCCCUACAGCACUUCAACAUGAACUGCUUGAUGAAGUUUGGAUUCCUCAAGUGGCUAUCGAAACCUAAAAAUCUAUCAUAAAUAUAGACUGAGACUGGGUUAUUUUUUAAGAUGUG